GAUGAAGAACGUAGUGAAAUGCGAUAAUUAAUGUGAAUUGCAGAAUUCAGUGAAUCAUCGAGUCUUUGAACGCACAUUGCGCCCCCUGGUAUUCCGGGGGGCAUGCCUGUCCGAGCGUCAUUGCUGCCCUCAAGCACGGCUUGUGUGUUGGGCUUCCGUCCCUGGCAACGGGGACGGGCCCAAAAGGCAGUGGCGGCACCAUGUCUGGUCCUCGAGCGUAUGGGGCUUUGUCACCCGCUCCCGUAGGUCCAGCUGGCAGCUAGCCUCGCGACCAAUCUUUUUAACCAGGUUGACCUCGGAUCAGGUAGGGAUACCCGCUGAACUUAAGCAUAUCAAUAAGCGGAGGA
rnacentral:misc_RNA from 1 species